AUCAAGAGCAUUUAAUUUGUUUCAUAUAUAGGCCUUCUCAACUGCGAUCUUGCCCCAGAGAAGAGAAAAAACUACACAGAAACCUUAAGCAUUAAGACACAUUAUUGUAACUAAGAAAGAGCAUAACGUUAAUAGUGGCUUUUUCUAAGGUGUAAAAUAAUGAAUUUUUAAGAUACUUUUCCUUAUUUUUCAUAUUUUGUAUAUUAAAUAUAUACCACUUCUAUCAUUUAAAAUAUCUAUUAUGUUUUUAAAAUAAAGGCUUUCUUUCCGCUUUCUUUCAGGCCAGAGGUAAAAGAAACAGAGAAGAAGAGAUAAUAAUUCUAACAGAAAUAUUACAGCCUUUACAACUUGCAUGCAUACAGUUAUACAUUAAGAGACUGAAAAAGGCAGUUUCUUUUACUGCUAAUUCUAGUAGUGAUGAAACUCAGGCUCAAGUAUUCAGGUGACUUGUUUGAGGUCACACAGUGCAUAAAUGGUUGCACCUGAGCUGAAAUAUGAGUUGUCCAACUCUUGUAAGUGCAUGCUCCAUCACAUCAUCCUGAGUCAGUAAUGAGGAUGCCAUUGUACCCUUCAAGCAGCCCUGGAGAGUUUAUCUCUGCAUGCUGGAGCUAAUAAUAAUAAUGUUGUUUGAAGCCGUGAGACUGAGUGAGAUCAUGGAGGAAGUGAAUGUAAAUAGAAAAGGGAAGAAGUCUGAAGACGGAGCCCUGAGACACUCCAUUGUAAACUGGAAGAUGAGGAAGAGCCAGCAAAGGAGACUGAGAAGGGGCAGCCAGUGAAGAUGGAGCCAGGGCUAGAGUAAGAGCCCCUUCUGGGAUGCUGUGACCCCCAAGUUUGAAGACUGCUGAUAACCCCAAUCUACGAAGACUAGCUAUGGAACUUCCUACACUGAGACAACUCCAGUGGAACUCUGAUAAUUAUCCUAAAAUAAGGAGGCUUCUUCAGUAGCCCUCGAAAUAUGUUCAAAUACAUGAUUACAUUUAUGUCCUUAAUAUUGCUAUUAGUUUCUGAUGUUAAUGUAAAAGUUGGGGAAAAAGUGGAAAAGUUAAAGCAGUGCAGGUUAAUUCAAUGCCAGAGUAACUUCUCAGAGGGUGUAUAUUCAGUGUGAACAAUUUUCAACAGAGAAAUGUCAACUUCUGGCCACAACGGCAACCAGUAAAAUGACUAUUUUUACUGUCUUAUCUAUUAAUGAAGAGGAGAUUGCAUAAUAUAGAUGAAGGAGCAUAGUAUUUGCAGGUGGAACGCCUAGCAGGGCUUGAGUCUCAACUCUGCUGCUUUUACUCUAAUUGACCGAGACAAGUCAUUUAAACUAAUAGAGCUUCAAUUUUCUCAUAUCUAAUGUAACAUAACAAUUCACAGCCUUUUACUUUGUAGUUAUCGUGAAGAUCUAAUCGCAGUGAAAUAUAUUUAUAUAUCUGUCUGCUGAUAGAACUUUUGUCAUAGAGGCUAGUCCAUUUUAUGUCAACGGGGCUUAAAUAAGAUCUGUGCCAGCAACUGAAUUACACUAAUGAGUGAGUAAUUACAAAAGAAGCCUGCUUUAUCAAUCUAUAUAAAGAAGAAAGUUACUGAGUAUGGAGGGGAGAUUCUCCUUUCAUAUUGGCACUCAUUCUUACUUUCCCUGAAAUAGAGAUUAUAGUAGUCUACCAGCAAUUUUCAAACUUCAAUUCUGGCCUGGAAAUUGGACAGAAGGGGUCCAAGGACAAUGAACCGAAAGUGCCAGUGAAUGUCUCAGUGCAGACUUGGAGUCAUAGUGGUUAAUUUGCAAAAUUAACUCCCUAUUCAGACUUCAGGCAGUUACAUGUCAACCAACAUCAACUUCGACCCUUAAUCUUCAGCCUCAACCUAGUAAUAAUAUCUCUGAGGUGAAUAAGCUAUGAAGUGGACAUUUCCACCUUCCUUUAUUUUAUUUUAUUUAUUUUUUUGAGAUGGAGUCUUGCUGUGUUCCCCAGGAUGGAGUGCAGUGGCACAAUCUGGGCUCACUGUAACCUCUGCCUCCUGGGUACAAGAGAUUCUCCUGCCUCAGCCUCCCGAGUAGCUGGGACUAGAGGUGUGUGCCACCACGCCUGGCUAAUUUUUUGUAUUUUUAGUAGAGACAGUGUUUCACAGUGUUAGCCAGGCUUGUCUCUAUCUCCUGACCUCUUGAUCUGCCCGCCUCGGCCUCCCAAAGUGCUGGGAUUACAGGCAUGAGCCACCACACCUGGCCCCACCUUGCUUUUUUAUUAAGACUGCUAAUAAUAAGUUACUGUGCUUUCUUAUUAUAUCCCCUUUUGGUCUCUGUUAACAAAAAAUACAGUUGUAUGUAAAUUUUAGUAUAUGACAAUGUUCAUCUCACAAUACGUACAGUGAUAAUAGUGGAAGAGGAAGGAAGGUAAAACUUUUGCUGUGAUUCCAUAAAUGAGCAACGUGGGACACCCUUGUAUGAGUCCAGUGCUUACACAAGCGCCUGAACACAGAGCUGCCAGGCUGGGUGCAUGUGUCAAACUCUGCCAAAGCCCUGAAAGCACCAGUUGUGAAAAGCUGGAAAAAGGUCUUGGCAACCAAAAUUCAUGUUGAUUUUUGUCACCUUUUUGAGCAAAUAUUCUUUGCAGAUCAAUAGUCCAUUGGUUUAAUUUUACAAAUGUUUUCUUUUGAAUUUUCUUUCCUCCCAAUGUAGUUUCAAAAAACUAGUCCAUUUAAAAAAUGAUCCUUUUUAUGGAGUGAAAGAAUACAAUACUCAGAGUGGUUCCAUGCUCAAGUUCCAAGAUGCAAAUUUUUUUAUGCAAGUCUCAUAUUCAAUUAAUAGCCCCGAGAUUAUGAAAGAUCCAUUACCUUCUCAAUUGCAGAUUCAGGUAUUGCCAACACAACACAAAGCAGCAUUAAAAUUCAUGUCAUUCUAUAAUGGUAUUUUCCAAAAUGUACUUUUUCCAAACACUUUCCAAAAUGUACUUUUUCAGGUUGCUUUAAAAAUUUUAAUAUAAAAUUUAACAAUUAAAAAUGUAUUUUAUAGUCAGAAUAGCAGGAACUCUUUGUAAGUACUGAGGGAUUAUCACUAAAUAAAAUGUAUAGCAAGUGUGCUAUAGCAGUAUUCUUCUGUAAGAGAUAUCCAGAGUUAUUGACCUGAGAGAAGGAGGAGAAAUGCAUGUAUGAAUGCAAAGAAUCCUGUUUUUCUUCAGCAGGGUACUGAAAACUAAUUCUUCUUCAUGAGGGAAGGCAAACAACCCUCUCUCUGGUCUCUUUUCUACUAUGAUUCAUUUUUUGGUCUAAGUUUUUUCCCAAACCAAGAGUAGACUCCCUCCUGAGUCUCUAUUGACUUACCUGGCUGCCAACAAAGGAAGGCUACUAGUUUCUUGGAAUUCAUAUAAUUAUAUUUCUGUGGGCACUCAUAAAGAGCCAUCAGCUCUGUCCUUGCACACCCCACUUCUAGACUUGCCUCCAGCCGGGGGUGGUAAUAACUGAAAAGAAAACAUUUCUUGACCUACUCCAGUACCUCAUAAAUCGAAAUGUAUCCCUUCAACUAACACUCAAAUUCCAUCUUAUUAAUAUAACUGCCAAACUAAAUUAAGUCCAAUUUUACUUUUUUGUUUACCUCCUAUACAAUGGAAUCAUAUUUUUUCAUAUUAAAAUUUUAGCAAAUAAUAUGUCACCUACCAUUUGCACCUCCACACGAUGCUAGAGAAUUAAGUUGGGAAAGUCAGACCUCCAAUGCUCUUGAUACAAAUAAGUCCUGACCAAAGAUUUAACCAGAAUGUUCCCUCAGUGCUGCUAAAUAAAUAUUUAUUUAUGUAUGUAUUUAUGUAAUACUUCUCCUUUGAAAAGAGAACUUGAGGUAGUCUCCAGAAAUAUACACAUACCAGUGGAAGAAAAACAGACCAAUCUGUGGAAAUUAAAGCAAGAAGAAAGAUAAGCUGGAAGAAAAUAUAUAUUGAAGCAGUAAUGUUGGUGCCUGCCAUACUGGUCUUAGCGUUCUGAUAGGUUCCUGCAUGUUGGUGGUAAUUUUGAAACAGACUAUCCUAAUAAUCCAGGCAAAUAUAGUUUGAAAGCACAAUUAGUCAUGAGACUACCCAUGUUGCUGGCCAAAAUCACACUGCUGUGAGAGACAGCACAGUUGUUCCUGUUCCUGAGAUGCAUGAGGAAUUUUUCUCAUGGUUCCUUAUGAAGUAGACACUGAGUGAUUGGUAGCUAUUAGUGGGAAGCAGGAUAUCUGGGAAGAAGAGGGAAAAAUGACAGCAUUGCACAAAUUUGAGGGAAUGGAUUCUUUGCCUUUAUCAUAUUUAAUGUAAGCUCCUAGUGAUUAAUGAGUUUGAAAUGCCUGGUCAUCUACAUAUGUGUGCCUGAUUCCAGGAGAGAUGGAGUCUGACAGUUUGUAUAGCAGCUAAGUUCAUGGGAAUGGAGUCUGCUGCCUAAGGCCCUGAGCAGCCUUUAUUGCAAAUUCUGUAGAGUAACCCGCUGUGUAGCAAACAGUCAGGAUCACUUAUUAUUAUUUACAGACUUUCCAAAGCUCUCAUCAAAUAGGAGCCCCACACUGUCAAUUUCUGGAAAUAUCAAUGCUUAAUGCUUCCCCAUUCACAAAGUAUGGGGAAGGUGUUGUCAAUCUGGGGAUAGAGGGGAGACUUGUGCCACGUUUUAGAGGAUGGCACUUUGGAACUUAGGGAUACAGAAGUCUAAUGUGAGGACAGCCAUUUGGCGGUCACCUGUCUUAUUCACAAGAGAGGAAUUAACUUCAUAGCAUCCCUAUUGUUUGAAAAGGGGACUUACUGAGUGCCAUCUAUGUGCAAGCUAAUAGGUAAACAGUAAUAUGUUUUCCAAAAGCAGAUGGAAAUUUUGAGAGUCCCAAAGCUUAUAUAAUUAAGGGCAAAGAGAAGGUUUAAGAAAUUUAUAAAUAUAAAACUAUGUAUAAGACUGCGCAUGUAGGCCAUGCAGAGGAGGUAAAGUGCAAGCUUUGGUAACUUCACAGAAAAUCUAUCUAUGAUGGUGUUCUCCUAUAAUCCUCAGAGUAACCAAUGAUCUGAGUGAAACUCUCUCCAUGUGACACAGGACAAAACUGAGAUCCAAUUUUUGUAGUUGCCAAAUUUUGCAAAUAAAAACAAUGGACUUUAAGUUAAAUUUGAAUUUCUAAUAUACAACAAAAAAAUUUUAAUAUAAAUAUGUUCUCAAUUUUUUUAUAUUAAAAAAUCAUCUAUUGGGAUCUGGAAUUCAAAUUUAAUCUGGUGUCCUGUAUUUUAUCUGGUAGUCUUACCAAUAUUAUAUAGCCUAGUUUUUAACCCAGAUUUGUUGUAUAAAAAUACAAAGUUCAAAUAUAUUUUAUUCCUUCCCUAUUAUAAGUACCACAUGUUUAAUAAUUACUAAGCACAGUCAUUUUCCCCUUAAAUAAAAGUAAUCUUUGCAUUAAAUUGUUUAUUAUUUAAAUAAUGGAAAUUAUAUAUACUCUAGUUCUUAAAAACUUAACUUUAAAUUAUCCAGGUAAUAAUAGUUAUUGCAGAAAAAAUUUAAAUGCAAACAGAAAAGGCAAGCAACCUUUAUAAUCCUCUCUUUCACAGAUGACUUCUUUUGUCAUUUAGUUUUUUAUAUCUUCUGACUUUCUUAUGCAAAUAGCUAUAUAUUGCUUUAAAAAAGAAUCAGUGUUAUACAUUCUUUUAAAUACAAAGUGACUUAAAAAAACACAACUUUAUUUUCUUUGUGCUGGGCCUUGUAUGUGAUGAUAGAGAUUUGGCAAUCAAUUAUCAGGAUUUGGAUGAAAAAAAUCAGCAAGUAGAAUACCAGAUGUGAAAACUUCCCACAGAAAUUCUUCUUCCUUUGAAGUGUGAGAUUAAUGAUCUAUAUCAGACGGUCGGUUGACCGUAUUGCAGUUAGACCUAAUGUGAAACAUUUCAGAUGGCUACCGGAUGAUACAGGUAUGGCUGAUAAAAAGCCCCUCAGAAUUGAGAUAAAUCGGCUUGGUCUCAUCAUUAUCUCAUAGAGCAAUGCAGGCAAAGGAAAAAAAAAUAUGUCUCUUGACUGAUUAUUUGAGUUCUUAUUGCAGAUUUAAAAUAAAAUAAAUCAGUGGGAUUACAUGUCAAAUUUAUCUACCAGAAUUGUCACCUAAUAUAUAUAGAUAUUGGUUUUCUUUCAGAGGAGAGGGAAAAUAGAGAAAAAUGGAUAACUUGUCAUAAAUGUAAAACUUCAGAGAGAACUAACAGAAGCGUGCAAGCUAUGUUUUUACAGGCAAAACUUUUUUCUUCUAUAGAACAAGCCUAUAUUAAGCAACAUCGGCGACUCAACUGUUUGUCCCAGUGCAGAAUUUAGGGCUGCCUUCACAUGAAGCAAAAGGAAGUGUCAAAUAAAUUAUUGGAAAACUGCGUUUCAAUACCUGCAUUACCUUGUCUGGCUAUACAGAGUUAACUUGGGUUUCCUAAGAAUUUUCUGGGAAUUUUUACUGAGUAUGCCUGGUCAAAGUAGAAUAAUCUACAUAAUCACCUGUGAUUGUCCCUAAGGAUAACCUGCCCUUGACUCUAUGUCUGACUUCCAUCUUUGAAACCAACACCUAUUGUUACAAGGAGGAGGGACCAUAUGGUAAUAUCUACAAUUAACAGAUAUUCCACAGUCAAUUCCUUAGUAGAAUAGAGAAAAGAAAAAGUGCUGGUCUGGGACCCUGGAGACUUGAAAUCCGGUCAUGAAUCUAACAAUGUCAACACACAAGUUGGCAAGUUGACGCAACGCCAACUUACACAACUUGUACAAUUUACCCAUUCUUGUCUGGGUGCAGUGGCUCACGCCUGUAAUCCCAGCAUUUUGGGAGGCUAAGGAGGGCAAAUCAUCUGAGGUCAGGAGUUCAAGACCAGUCUGGCCAACAUGGGAAAACCCUGUCUCUACUAAAAAAUGCAAAAAUUAGCUGGGCAUGGUGGUGCACGCUUGUAAUCCUAGCUCCUAGGGAGGCUAAGGCACGAGAAUCCCUUGAACCUGGGAGGUGGAGGUUGCAGCAAGCCAAGAUAGAACCACUGCACUCCAGCCUGGGAAACAGAGGGAGGCUCUGUCUCAAAAACAAAACAAAACAAAACAAAUAACCAAAACUUACCCAUUCUUUAUCUUAGUAUCCUCAACUACAAGAUAAGAUUUUAUUGACUCUUUGAGCCCACUCUUAGGAUUCUCAGCUCUAAAAUUAUUUCAAAGGUUUUUUUUUGUCUUCUUGUAAGUUCUGAAUGCAUAUUUCAGUUUGAAAGUUUACCAGUGCUUCUCUCCUCUGCUGAAAAUGUGCUACUAAGUUUAUAAACACACACCUGUUUGAGAAAUAGAUAAACAUUAUAACAAACUUCUACAGCUAUUUUGAAGAUUGAAAACUAUUUGCCCCAUAAGUAUAAAAAUCAAUAAAUAUAUUUGUAUAUAUUUGUAUAUAUUUUAAUUAAACAUACCUUGUCAAUUAAUAUAUGUAUCUGUGUAUAUAGAUAGAUGUGUGUGUAUAUUUAUAUACAUGAUAUAGAUAGAUAAAUAUAUAGCUAUAGAUAAAGAUAUAGCUAUAGUAACACAUGGAUUGAAAAUGAUCUGAACUAAUAUAAAUAAAAUUCUCACUAGUCCAGUGCUUCUCCAUCUAUCUGAAGUGAAGAGCCACAUUUUUUUAAAGUUAUUAUUAUUAUUUCUAAUUCCCUGGUGACAAAAAUACAAUUAAAACAGCAAGUUGCUAUUAAAGUUUCUAACUUUAUUGACUCACUUUGUAUGUGAAUUCUCUCUUUACUUAUCUCCUAGUAAGCCAGUAAUGGAAACAUAUCAUCAUAGGUCUAUGCACCAAAUUUUAUGUAGAAUGUCACUAGGGCAUAAGAUUACAUGAAAUUUUCAUUUUCUUAAUGUUUUAUAUAGUUUGAUUUCAAUGUAGAUAUUAUACCUAGAAUAGAAGAUUUAAAAAAUUAACAUGAAUUUUGGUAUAAUUCGCUUACUAAAAAUACAUAUAUGAGUAGGAUGAUAUAAUUUCAAUUAUUAAUCUAAGUUAUCUCAGGGUAAAAUUAAACAAGAUAUUUCUUUCCUUUUUGGAAGGGGAAUAUUUGUAUUUGUUGAUAUUUCAUAAUCAUUGGAUAUGUAUUACACAUAUAAUGAGAAAAAAACAAUUUCCAUUACUACAUGAACAAAGGGCAAUGUAAGGCUAUUACUAAGUUGGGUUAACACAACUGGUUCACUUUCAUUUACAUGAACCAUUCUUUUGAUGGAAUAUCUGAAGAGAGAAAUGUGUGUGUUUGUAGUCCAUUCCAGUUCUGGUUCUGUGCAAAUUCUAAUAAAAAUGAAAUGUAAUUGAUCCUCAAAAAUAUGAUUCAUCUAUUUUAAGUCAUCAGUCAACAC
rnacentral:lncRNA from 1 species